CCGACAAUAAUAUGAACUGAAAGCUGGCCAGCUUUUUGUGGCAAAGCAACUUUCCCGUUCGGGCAACCAAGAGGGAACUUUUACUUGCCCAUCAUGAUAUUCACUUGCCCCGGGCAAGUGUUAAGUUACACCUCUGAGCAUAGUAGUUGCCAUUUGGCAGCUGUUGGUCUGGUUGAAGUGCUCAGAUAAUUUGGGGAAACCCAUGGCAUGCUCUCUCAACAGUGAAGGUUCAAAAACACACAUGCCGGAAUGCUUAUAGAAUACCUCGCCAUUUUUCCACAUUCAUUGACACAUAAAUAUGUACAAGAAUCCCUUCAAAAUAGUUUAAGGGUAAAGUUUAGAGAUUAAAUCAUAUGAGUAUGUUAGUUUGGUUCAAAUUUGACUGGGGGGUUUUGAAGAAUGAGGCAAUCAUAUUAGAUCAAUUUUGAGUAAAUUGACAAUGUUUACAAGGAAUUAAUAGCGGUAAGAUGUGAAAGUUGUGGGUAUUCUAUAGUUGUAUCAAAAAAGUGGAAAACCAAGCUAAAAGCCCUUUAAUGUACUUCAAUGUUUUUUUAAUGUUUGUCCCACAUUAAAAUAUAUUGAGUCAAUGACAGUGCAACUGUUCAUAUUAAAACGUUCUAAUCACAUUUUACAUGCACAUUUGUAUUCAGUAGUAAUCUUUUCAUAAAGGUACAUCAAAGUCCCAAAUCAAAUUCUUCACUGACAGUAUGUUAUUGACUCCCAAACGACAAGUAUUAUAAAACACGCUUCCAAGCUGAAAAGAAAUAUUUACUGUUGCCAGUCAGUGUUUAGACCCUUCUCUUUGAAUCUUGAUCUUCGACAAGUAUUGCUGUUGAUUAUAUUCCAUAUUUUUUUUAAGAACAUCGCAGACUAUAUAUUUAUUUCCACUGUCAGUUGAAAAGUUUAUCAUCAUAGUUUCAGUCGCAAAAGCUUCUAUCGCCCCUUUGCACGG